rnacentral:rRNA from 1 species
AUGGGACAUGAAUCACCUUCUGUUCGACUGCUGCACCUUCGUCUGGACCACUGUGACACCGGGGACUGUUCUGUAUCGAAGAUCAAUGCGCCACAUUCGAAUCUCAGAGUUCUAGAAGUCUACUUAUCCAAGUUGAAAAGAGCUGAGGUGCUCUGCCUUCCAAAACUAGAGCGUGUCCGUUGGCAGGCUUGGUUGUUUUAUGAGGCCCCCUUGUGCUUUGGUUCUAUCCCGUCACUCAAUGAAUUGUCCCUCGUCUGUGAUGCAACUCUCUAGCAUCAAGACUUAUGUUUAAGCCAGGUUCUAGAUGGUGCCACAAACAUACAUGCUCUGACCUUAAAUUUUUGAGGAAAAAACAUUUGGAUGCAACCAGAAGGAAAACAACUAUGCACUGCAUCCAACAAGCUAAGAAAGUUGACUAUUCAUGGUGUCUUUAUAAAAUUUGACCUAUUAUGGACAUUAAAUCUCAUCGAAGCUGCUCCAUCUGUCGAGACAUUUGAUGUUGAGAUGUUUGAACAUCCAUGCCGGGAGGGUGAUGAAGCAAGAAUAAGAUGUUUUGGUGCUAAGAGAGUGGAACCUUCAUGGAAAUUGCCUGGGUUCACAAGCUGUCACAAGUGGCAAUUGAAAGAGUUCCAGUUCGGUGGUUUUCGGCCCCUAGUAGAGCAACACUUUUUAUUUGUAAGUACCGUGAUGGGUCGUGCUCCAGACUUGAAGACGGUUCUUCUGACAGACGGUCAAUAUCCAUGUAAGGGUUGUGACACAAGAAUCCCAAUACCUCCUCAAGUAGGGGGCUUCUUUCCAACAUACAGGGAUGCCCAAGAAGCAAUAGCUAAGCAACUUAGAGAGAGGGUCCGGUCCUCGGCACAGAUAAUUUUCCGUAGUGGUUCAACAUACCCCUCGCGGGCAGCCCGGACAUGUAUUUAUUAG